UGCAAGUCGAACGAAGCUUUCGGGCUUAGUGGCGCACGGGUGCGUAACGCGUAUGCAAUUUACCUUUUACAGGGGGACAACACUAGGAAACUGGUGCUAAUACCGCGUAAUAAAUAGAGAGGCAUCUUUUUAUUUUAAAAGAAUUUCGGUAAGAGAUAAGCAUGCGUCCCAUUAGCUAGUUGGUAAGGUAACGGCUUACCAAGGCCACGAUGGGUAGGGGAACUGAGAGGUUUAUCCCCCACACUGGUACUGAGAUACGGACCAGACUCCUACGGGAGGCAGCAGUAAGGAAUAUUGGGCAAUGGGCGAGAGCCUGACCCAGCCAUGCCGCGUGCAGGAUGACGCUCCUCGUUGGGUGUAAACUGCUUUUAUUAGGGAAGAACAAGUUUCUGCGGAGACAACUGACGGUACCUAAUGAAUAAGCACCGGCUAACUACGUGCCAGCAGCCGCGGUAAUACGUAGGGUGCAAGCGUUGUCCGGAUUUAUUGGGUUUAAAGGGUGUGUAGGCGGUCUAGUAAGUUUUGGGUGAAAGCCCACCGCUCAACGGUGGAACUGCCUGAGAUACUGCUAGACUUGAGUAUAGUUAAAGUUACUAGAAUUGGUGGUGUAGCGGUGAAAUGCAUAGAUACCACCAGGAAUACCAAUUGCGAAGGCAGGUAACUAGGCUAUAACUGACGCUGAGGCACGAAAGCAUGGGUAGCGAACAGGAUUAGAUACCCUGGUAGUCCAUGCUGUAAACGAUGAGGACUCG
rnacentral:rRNA from 1 species